rnacentral:rRNA from 1 species
GAUGAACGCUGGCGGCGCGCCUAACACAUGCAAGUCGAACGAUUAAAGCACCUUCGGGUGUGUAUAAAGUGGCGAACGGCUGAGUAACACGUGGGCAACCUGCCCCUCUCAUUGGGAUAGCCACGGGAAACCGUGGAUAAUACCGAAUACUUCGGGACUUCCGCAUGGAAGACUCGAGAAAGCUCCGGCGGAGAGGGAUGGGCCCGCGGCCUGUUAGCUUGUUGGUGGGGUAAUGGCCUACCAAGGCAAUGAUGGGUAGCUGGGUUGAGAGACCGACCAGCCAGAUUGGGACUGAGAAACGGCCCAGACUCCUACGGGAGGCAGCAGUGGGGAAUCUUGCACAAUGGGCGAAAGCCUGAUGCAGCGACGCCGCGUGCGGGAUGAAGGCCUUCGGGUUGUAAACCGCUUUCAGCAGGGACGAGGCGAAAGUGACGGUACCUGCAGAAGAAGCCCCGGCUAACUACGUG